rnacentral:lncRNA from 10 species
CAAAAAUAGAAUAAAUGCUCAUAUUUCACUUAGCCAGCUUGGCUCCCAUUUUAGUCAGUAAACAAUGUGUAUGUGAUAUGCUAUGUUGUAAAAAAAAUUUUUUUUUUGAGACAGGGUCUCACUCUGUCACCCAGUGCAGUGGUGUGAUCUCAGGUCACUGCAGCCUCUAUCUCUCAGGCUCAAACCAUCCUCCCACCUCAGCAUCCCAAGUAGCUGGUACUACAGGCACAUGACACCACAACCAGCUAAUUUUGUUGAUUUUUUGUAGAGAUGAGGUCUCACUAUUGAGAGGUGAAGCCAGCUGGGCUUCUGGGUCAGGUGGGGACUUGGAGAACUUUUCUGUCUAGCUAAAGGAUUGUAAACACACAAAUCAGCACUCUGUGUCUAGCUAAAGAUUUGUAAAUGCACCAAUCAGCACUCUGUAAAAAUGGACCAAUCAGCACUCUGUAAAAAUGGACCAAUCAGCAGGACGUGGGUGGGGCCAAAUAAGGGAAUAAAAGCUGGCCACCUGAGUCAGCAGCAGCAACCCACUCGGGUCCCCUUCCAUGCUGUGGAAGCUUUGUUCUUUUGCUCUUCACAAUAAAUCUCGCUGCUGCUCACUCUUUGGGUCCGCACUACCUUUAUGAGCUGUAACACUCAUUGCAAAGAUCUGCAGCUUCCCUCCUGAAGCCAGCAAGACCAUGAACCCACCAGGAGGAACAAACAACUCCAGAUGCAACACCUUUAAGAGCUGUAACACUCACUGCGAAGGUCUGCAGCUUCACUCCUGAAGUCAGCAAGACCACAAACCCACCAGAAGGAAGAAACUCCAGAUGCAUCUGAACAUCUGAAGGAACAAACUCCGGACACACCAUCUUUAAGAACUGUAACACACACCACGAGGGUCCACGGCUUCAUUCUUGAAGUCAGCAAGACCAAGAACCCACCAGAAGGAACAAAUUCCAGACACAUUUUGGCACCCAAUGUGGGGCACAUUUUGGUGACCACAAAGGAACCAUCGACUAUCACCAAGUGGAUUGAGGCCAUCAAGCUACAGAUGAUUUUACAAAUGGAACUCCAAAUGAGCUCAACUAACAACUUCUACCAAGGACCCCUGGACUGACUCACUGGCCCUUUCACUGGCCUGAAGAGUUCCCCUCUGGAGGACACUACAACUGCAGGGCCCCUUCUUUGCUCCUAUUCAGCAGGAAGUAGCUAGAGUGGUCAUCGCCCAAUUCCCAACAGCUGUUGGGGUGUCCUGUUUAGAGGGGGUACUGAGAGGUGAAGCCAGCUGGGCUUCUGGGUCGGGUGGGGACUUGGAGAACUUUUCUAUCUAGCUAAAGGAUUGUAAAUACACCAAUCAGCUCUCUGUGUCUAGCUAAAGGUUUGUAAAUGCACCAAUUAGCACUCUGUAGAAACGCAACAGUCAGUGCUCUGUGUCUAGCUAAAGGUUUGUAAAUGCACCAAUCAGCACUCUGUAAAAAUGCACCAAUCAGUGCUCUGUGUCUAGCUGAAAGAUUUGUAAAUGCACCAAUCAGCAAUCUGUAAAAACGCACCAAUCAGCACUCUGUGCCUUGCUAAAGAUUUGUAAAUGCACCAAUCAGCACUCUGUAAAAACAGACCAAUCAGUGCUCUGUAAAACGGACCAAUCAGCAGGAUGUGGGCGGGGCCAAAUAAGGGAAUAAAAACUAGCCACCUGAGCCAGCAGCAGCAACCCACUUGGAUCCCCUUCCACGCUGUGGAAGCUUUGUUCUUUUGCUCUUCACAAUAAAUCUUGCUGCUGCUCAUUCUUUGGGUCUGCACUACCUUUAUGAGCUGUAACACUCACUGGGAAGGUCUACAGCUUCCCUCCUGAAGCCAGCGAGACCACAAACCCACCAGGAGGAAAGAACAACUCCAGACGCGCCACCUUUAUGAGCUGUAACACUCACCACGAAGGUCUGUGGCUUCACUCCUGAAGCCAGCAAGACCACGAACCCACUGGGAGGAAUG